rnacentral:tRNA from 1 species
CAGGGUGUAGCGCAGUUGGUAGCGUGCCUGGUUUGGAACCAGGAGGUCGUAGGUUCGAGCCCUACCGCCCUGACCA